AACUAAUAUAGGGUCCAUUACAUUUUAGCUAUUAUUAUUAUUAAUUAAUCCCCAAAUGUGCCUUUUCCUUUUCCUCUCAGCAUCAUUUUUUUUUAUCACACUGUUCUGUUUUAGUGUCUAGAUAGUACCUUGUAAUUAGAAAACUAAAUAUUUAUUGAAAGAAUGAAUGAUUGAAUGAGUGAAAAGCCUACACCCGCCAGUUACUUGGUGUGACAUAACCACAAUAGCUUUUCCUGACCUAUUCCAUAAAGUCUAGCAUACGGUGACAAGAACCCUCAUUUGGUUCUUUUCAUCUGCUCUUUUGUAAUGUACCUUUGUGUGUCUCUCUCUCCCUAAAGCUUCUUGAGGACAGGGAUCAUUUCUUUUACCUGUCUGUGUCCCCAGGGCCUAGCCGUAGUAAGUAACUCAAGUCUGCGGCAGUAAUGAUGAUCCCAUUGUCAAAAGUUGUCCACUAACUUGUUACUCAUUCUCGAGUUUCCCCAAGCCCUAGUGUGUAUCGCGUCCUUGUCAAUGCUAGAAGUUUGCUUCUUGUGUCAACCGCCUUUCCCAACUGACACAGAACCCUCCAGUCCCAAUAUAUCUCAAGGAACAGCAGAUGGAGGAUGAGCUUGAACAGGCUAAUUCUUCUGCUGGGUAGACUUGUGUUGAAAGAAGUAGGCUCUAGGCCCAUGCCUGAAAAUCUUUUCCUUACACCUACAGAGAUGUUGGUUUUCCAGGUGUUUGUCAUAGUGGAAUUACUCUGUAAUUUGUUCACUUGGGAGCCUGUUUUCUGUGGGACCCACAUAACUCCUCGGGUUGGUGGGGGAAGCCCUCAACUGCAGGGAAUCACCUCAACCUUAGGUUUCUCCUGUUUGAUGGCAGUUAUUCUCAUGGCUCAACACAGGUCAUUCCUUUUCCUUCCGUACAGUUCAAAAACUCAGAGACUGACCACCACUUGCUAAUAUGAUAUCAGAUUGACUUUAAAAAAAAAGGUCUCCUUAUUUAGACAUAUUCUCUUUUUUUUUAAAGAUUUUAUUUUUCCUUUUAUCUCCCCAAAGCCCCCCGGUACAUAGGUGUGUAUUUUUAGUUGUGGGUCCUUCCAGUUGUGGUAUGUGGGAUGCUGCCCCAGCAUGGCCUGAUGAGCGGUGCCGUGUCCACACUCAGGAUUCGAACUGGCGAAACCCUGGGCCGCCCAAGCAGAGCACGUGAACUUAACCAUUCAGCCAUGGGGCCAGCCCCUGGACAUAUUUUCAAACUUAGGAAAGGUUGCAAAGAAGCCUCAUAUACCCUUUCCCUAGAUUCACCUGUGGUUCACGUUUUACCCCAUUUGCUGUAGCAUUAGCACGCUCUCUGUCCCCUCUCUUUUGAACCAUAUAAGAGUAAGCGACAUGCAUCAGCACCCUUCACCCCUAAAUACUGUGUGAAUUUCCUGAACCUAGGAAUAUUCUCAACAUAACCACAGUACAUUUAUCAACUUUAUAAAUAUACAUUGGUAGUGUUUCUAUUCCAAUUUUGUUGGUUGUUCUAGUAAUGUAUUUUGUAGCAUUGUCCACACUCCCGCCUCCUGCACAACAUCCAGUCUAGGGUCUGGCUUGCAUUUAGUUGUGUUACCCUGUAGCCUCCUUUAAUCUGGAAUUAUUUCCACAGCCUUUUUUUUGUCUUUUAUGAUGUCGACAUUUUUUAAGACAGUUCCCGUUGCCUUUUUUUUUUUUUAAAUAGAACAUUCCCAGAUUGCAUUUGUUUGAUGUUUUGUUUAUGCAUUCUUGGCUGGGAUAUUGCGAAAUUAACAUUUUGUCCUUCUAAGGGUAUCACAGCUGGAGGCAUACAAUGACCUUACUGGUAAUGUAAAUUUUUCUCCUCCAUCAAGGUGUUGCUCAAUUUCUCCACUGUACAAUUUUUUUUUCUCCCUUGAAUUAAUAAGCAGUCUCUGGAAAGAUACGUUGAGACCAUACAAAUAUCUUGCUCGUUAACAUUUCCCCCUUAGAUUUAGCAUCCGUUGAUGGUUCCUGCCUGAACCCUUUCUACUCUGCUGAUAACCAAAUGAUGAUUUUCCAGCUCCAGCAGUCCCUCCACGUUUACCAGCCAACCCUUGAUGAGGAGUCUGAGAUGCUGAGAGGUUAGAUGGCUUGCUCCGGGUCACCCAGGAAGAGUGGAAGAGCUAGGAGGGAUGCACAGCCUUCAACUCCACACUCUGUGUGCCAUACCCCAUCUCUACCUCGAUCAAGAGCGACAUUCAUUUGGUUUCUUUUCCCUGUUAAGGAGUAUUAUUCAAAGCAUCAGCGGGAAAGCAUCUCAUUUUCUGCAUGACUCAUCCUCAUUCCAAGAUUAACAUGCUCCACUUUCAUUCUUUGCCUCCCACUCAAUUUCACAUCCAGCCGGAGCCCUGAGAGUCUCUGUGCCCUAUCGGACCCCCACUCCACCCUGCUCUCUCGCCUCCUCUCUCCCCUCCCCAGCUGUACAUUUACCUCCCGGCCCCAGACUGUCCCACCAUCCUCAGAUUCCACGGGUCACUUUUGUUGGCCUCUGGUUUAAGAAAAGCAUGUCUUCCUGAAAUACCACUCUGAUCUAGGUUGAAAAUAGAAUAAAGAAAUAGAGUUAAGUUGCAGCAGAUGUACAGGGACAAGUGUUUGUCUACAUGCUUCCAACAUUCCAUUAAGGUCCAAGAUUACAGCAAAAAGUGUGUAUUUCUGAACAUAUACAUUUUAUUUCAAAUUUCUCAAAAAAAAAAGUUAAGCUUUCUUCUGAUGUGCUGGAUGUUGUUAAACACAAUAGAACCAGAAAUAAAUAUGCCAUUGGCUGAGGUUUGGGGAUCUUUUUAUUGUGUCAAGAUUUUCAGUUUUUUUGGAAACAGGCUCUGAUCUGUAUAAUUUGAUCCUGCUUACAUCAAAAUGUGAGUAAAAUACUGAAAUAUUUACAGAUGGAUUGAUAUGAUGUCUGGGAUUUGCUUCAAAAUAACCCAGGAUGUGGGGGAAAGUGGGUAGGUGGAUAGAAGAAGCAAGAUUGACCGUGAAUUGGUAAAGUUUGAAGCAAAAUGAUGAGUAC
rnacentral:lncRNA from 1 species